CGGCGACCGGCGCACGGGUGCGUAACGCGUAUGCAACCUACCUUUAACAGGGGCAUAACACUGAGAAAUUGGUACUAAUUCCCCAUAACAUUCGAGAAGGCAUCUUCUUGGGUUAAAAACUCCGGUGGUUAAAGAUGGGCAUGCGUUGUAUUAGCUAGUUGGUGAGGUAACGGCUCACCAAGGCAACGAUACAUAGGGGGACUGAGAGGUUAACCCCCCACAUUGGUACUGAGACACGGACCAA
rnacentral:rRNA from 1 species